rnacentral:rRNA from 1 species
AGAGUUUGAUCCUGGCUCAGAACGAACGCUGGCGGCGUGCUUAACACAUGCAAGUCGAACGCGAAAGGGACUUCGGUCCCGAGUAGAGUGGCGCACGGGUGAGUAACGCGUAAGUAAUCUACCCCUGUAUCUGGAAUAACCCACCGAAAGGUGAGCUAAUACCGGAUACGUUUAUCUUGAUGCGAAUGAUGAUAAAGAAAGGUGGCCUCUUCAUGAAAGCUACCGUACAGGGACGAGCUUGCGUACCAUUAGCUGGUUGGUAGGGUAAUGGCCUACCAAGGCGACGAUGGUUAGCGGGUCUGAGAGGAUGAUCCGCCACACUGGAACUGAAACACGGACCAGACUCCUACGGGAGGCAGCAGUGAGGAAUAUUGCGCAAUGGGGGCAACCCUGACGCAGCGACGCCGCGUGGACGAUGAAGGCCCUUGGGUCGUAAAAUCCUGUCAGAUGGAAAGAAAUGUACAGGUGUUAAUAUCGCCUGUAUUUGACGGUACCAUCAAAGGAAGCACCGGCUAACUCCGUGCCAGCAGCCGCGGUAAUACGGAGGGUGCGAGCGUUGUUCGGAAUUACUGGGCGUAAAGCGCGCGUGGGCGGUUUGCUAAGUCAGAUGUGAAAGCCCUCGGCUUAACCGGGGACGUGCAUUUGAAACUGGCAGACUUGAGUACUGGAGGGGGUG